GUGAACGCUGGCGGCAGGCCUAACACAUGCAAGUCGAGCGGCAGCGGGUUCCCGCGAGGGGAUGCCGGCGAGCGGCGGACGGGUGAGGAACACAUCGGAAUCUGCCUGGUUGUGGGGGAUAACGUAGGGAAACUUACGCUAAUACCGCAUGCGACCCUGAGUCGACGGACUGGGGGUGAAAGUGAGGGACCUUCGGGCCUCACGCGACCAGAUGAGCCGAUGUCGGAUAGCUAGUUGGCGGGGUAACGGCCCGCCAAGGCGACGAUCCGUAGCUGGUCUGAGAGGAUGAUCAGCC
rnacentral:rRNA from 1 species